rnacentral:rRNA from 1 species
UACGUAGGUGGCAAGCGUUGUUCGGAAUUACUGGGCGUAAAGGGCGCGUAGGCGGCUUGGCAAGUCGGGUGUGAAAACUUCAGGCUCAACCUGGAGCGGCCACUCGAUACUGCCAUGGCUUGAGUCCGGUAGGGGACCACGGAAUUCCUGGUGUAGCGGUGAAAUGCGCAGAUAUCAGGAGGAACACCGGUGGCGAAGGCGGUGGUCUGGGCCGGAACUGACGCUGAGGAGCGAAAGCGUGGGGAGCGAACAGG